GAUGAACGCUGGCGGCGUGCCUAAUACAUGCAAGUCGAGCGAACAGAUGUGGAGCUUGCUCCUCUGACGUUAGCGGCGGACGGGUGAGUAACACGUGGAUAACCUACCUAUAAGACUGGGAUAACUUCGUGAAACCGGAGCUAAUACCGGAUAAUAUAUUGAACCGCAUGGUUCCAUAGUGAAAGACGGUUUUGCUGUCACUUAUAGAUGGAUCCGCGCCGCAUUAGCUAGUUGGUAAGGUAACGGCUUACCAAGGCAACGAUGCGUAGCCGACCUGAGAGGGUGAUCGGCCACACUGGAACUGAGACACGGUCCAGACUCCUACGGGAGGCAGCAGUAGGGAAUCUUCCGCAAUGGGCGAAAGCCUGACGGAGCAACGCCGCGUGAGUGAUGAAGGUCUUCGGAUCGUAAAACUCUGUUAUUAGGGAAGAACAAAUGUGGAAGUAACUAUGCACGUCUUGACGGUACCUAAUCAGAAAGCCACGGCUAACUACGUG
rnacentral:rRNA from 1 species